GCAUGAAUUUGGAUUUAUGGCAGGCCCAUCAGCCUGGGUCUGUCAUAGUGCCCCAUGCCAUAGCCAGCUGCAGCCCCAAACUAUUGCCUGGCCCUGCCAUUGGUCUCUGGACACUGAAGCGGGUCGCAUAUUU